rnacentral:piRNA from 1 species
GAAGGAAAAAUAGAGGAACCAUGACCAC